CCGCUCUUGGUCUAGUUGGUUAUGGCCCUCGGCUGUAAAGGAAGAUCACUUUGCGGUGGCUACCGAGUGGUCCCCGGUUCGAUUCCGGGAGAGCGGA
rfam:Pneumocystis jirovecii, SE8, WGS project CAKM01000000 data, contig: 197